CUUCUUUUUCUUCCUUUGUUUUUCUUUAGUUUCUCUUUUAUUUAUUGUCUAUUUUCCAACUUUUACCGAGGGUUCGAAAAAUUUUCUUCCCUUUAGGCGAAGUAAAUUAACCUAAGGUUAAGUAAGAUAAAUCCGAGUUUGAUCUGGAUUUCCCCAAUUUUUGUAUUAUAGACCAAGGAUCUAUUUUCAUUCCUUGUCUACUCUUUUCUUUCCAGUAUUUUUAUUAUGAUUAUUUUUAGUAUUCUAUUUUACGCGUCACAGCAAUUCCGGAAGAAUUGGGGGAAGAAGGGAACACAGGGAAUGAAUGGGAAGAUAGAAAAGUUGGAAUUUCGUUAUUGAUUCUGAAAGAGGGAUAUGA
rnacentral:lncRNA from 1 species